rnacentral:rRNA from 1 species
AAACCCUGAAGCAGCAACGCCGCGUGAGGGAUGAAGGCCUUCGGGUUGUAAACCUCUUUUCUCAGGGACGAUGAUGACGGUACCUGAGGAAUAAGCCACGGCUAACUACAUGCCAGCAGCCGCGGUAAUACGUAGGUGGCAAGCGUUGUCCGGAUUUACUGGGCGUAAAGAGCGCGCAGGCGGUUGUUUAAGUCGAAUGUGAAAGCCCCCGGCUCAACUGGGGAGGGUCAUUCGAUACUGAUCGACUUGAAGGCAGGAGAGGGAAGUGGAAUUCCGGGUGUAGUGGUGAAAUGCGUAGAUAUCCGGAGGAACACCAGUGGCGAAGGCGACUUCCUGGCCUGUUCUUGACGCUGAGGCGCGAAAGCUGGGGGAGCAAACGGGAUUAGAUACCCCGGUAGUCCCAGCCGUAAACGAUGGACACUAGGUGUUGGUGGUAUCAACCCCGCCAGUGCCGUAGCUAACGCAUUAAGUGUCCCGCCUGGGGAGUACGGCCGCAAGGCUA